UGACCCUUGCGAUUACCCCAAAUGUGGGUAACUCGGUCGUAUAAUUUCUGGUAGUGGGGACUGCGUUCGCGCUAUCCCCGU
rnacentral:snRNA from 10 species